rnacentral:rRNA from 1 species
GACGAACGCUGGCGGCGUGCCUAAUACAUGCAAGUCGAACGCUUCUUUCCUCCCGAGUGCUUGCACUCAAUUGGAAAGAGGAGUGGCGGACGGGUGAGUAACACGUGGGUAACCUACCCAUCAGAGGGGGAUAACACUUGGAAACAGGUGCUAAUACCGCAUAACAGUUUAUGCCGCAUGGCAUAAGAGUGAAAGGCGCUUUCGGGUGUCGUUGAUGGAUGGACCCGCGGUGCAUUAGCUAGUUGGUGAGGUAACGGCUCACCAAGGCCACGAUGCAUAGCCGACCUGAGAGGGUGAUCGGCCACACUGGGACUGAGACACGGCCCAGACUCCUACGGGAGGCAGCAGUAGGGAAUCUUCGGCAAUGGACGAAAGUCUGACCGAGCAACGCCGCGUGAGUGAAGAAGGUUUUCGGAUCGUAAAACUCUGUUGUUAGAGAAGAACAAGGACGUUAGUAACUGAACGUCCCCUGACGGUAUCUAACCAGAAAGCCACGGCUAGCUACGUG